UACGAAGGGGGGCUAGCGUUGCUCGGAAUCACUGGGCGUAAAGCGCACGUAGGCGGAUUGUUAAGUCGGGGGUGAAAUCCUGGAGCUCAACUCCAGAACUGCCUUCGAUACUGGCGAUCUUGAGUCCGGGAGAGGUGAGUGGAACUCCGAGUGUAGAGGUGAAAUUCGUAGAUAUUCGGAAGAACACCAGUGGCGAAGGCGGCUCACUGGCCCGGUACUGACGCUGAGGUGCGAAAGCGUGGGGAGCAAACAGG
rnacentral:rRNA from 1 species